UACGUAGGGUGCAAGCGUUGUCCGGAAUUAUUGGGCGUAAAGAGCUCGUAGGCGGCUUGUCACGUCGACUGUGAAAACCCGGGGCUCAACUCCCGGGCCUGCAGUCGAUACGGGCUGGCUUGAGUGCGGUAGGGGAGACUGGAAUUCCUGGUGUAGCGGUGAAAUGCGCAGAUAUCAGGAGGAACACCGGUGGCGAAGGCGGGUCUCUGGGCCGAUACUGACGCUGAGGAGCGAAAGCAUGGGUAGCGAACAGG
rnacentral:rRNA from 1 species